GGAGGCAGCUGGGUUCAGAUCCCGUGGUCUAGCCCUGAGAGGGCUGGGAGUGGGUGGCCUGGACCAGCUCUGCCCUACGCCCUGGGGUGGGCUGAAAUCUGGCUGAGCUGAGGCAAAACUGCAGGGAUCAGGAAACUGGAUUGAAGCACAGAGGCCAAGAAAACACACACCAACAUCAGUCAGAAGAGGAAUAAAAGCAGCCUGGACAUUUACAGGCUACAAAAGCCCCUGAAGGUACAUUUCCCAGGAGGCAGAUGGGAAGGUGAAAUUGAAGGUGGCAUGGAAAUACCAUCAGAACAGAGAGAAGGUGACAAACAGGGGCUCUGGAGCUAACUGUGUGACCUCAGGCAAGUGACUUAACCUCUCUGAGUCUCUGGUUCUUGUGCACGAAGUGGAGAUAUAAAAACAGUACCCGUGCCAUGGGCUGGCCUCACGGCAGGCUCCCAGCACAGCACCCUGCAUGCAGGAAGUACAAGCUCUUGCUUCCAUUAUUCCGAAGAGAAAAAAUCAUCAUGGUGACACUUUCCCAAACUUCAGUCCUGAGCCAUCAUAAUCUUGCCUGUCUACAUGCUACCUAUAAUACAUACUUGGCAUUUUUCUUGACCUCAGCAGGCCUUUACUUAAAUAAACCUAUUGUAAAACAAAACUCUAAGAGUGUGAA